CCUACGGGAGGCAGCAGUGAGGAAUAUUGGUCAAUGGACGAGAGUCUGAACCAGCCAAGUAGCGUGAAGGAUGACUGCCCUAUGGGUUGUAAACUUCUUUUAUAAAGGAAUAAAACGAGGCACGUGUGCCUUUUUGCAUGUACUUUAUGAAUAAGGAUCGGCUAACUCCGUGCCAGCAGCCGCGGUAAUACGGAGGAUCCGAGCGUUAUCCGGAUUUAUUGGGUUUAAAGGGAGCGUAGAUGGGUUGUUAAGUCAGUUGUGAAAGUUUGCGGCUCAACCGUAAAAGUGCAAUUGAUACUGGCAGUCUUGAGUACAGUUGAGGUAGGCGGAAUGCGUGGUGUAGCGGUGAAAUGCUUAGAUAUCGCGAAGAACCCCGAUUGCGAAGGCAGCUUACCAAACUGUGACUGACAUUGAUGCUCGAAAGUGUGGGUAUCAAACAGGAUUAGAUACCCGAGUAGUC
rnacentral:rRNA from 1 species